rnacentral:rRNA from 1 species
GCAACUCGCCUACACGAAGUCGGAAUCGCUAGUAAUCGCGGAUCAGCAUGCCGCGGUGAAUACGUUCCCGGGCCUUGUACACACCGCCCGUCACACCAUGGGAGUCGGAAAUGCCCGAAGUCUGUGACCCAACCUACGGGAGGGAGCAGCCGAAGGCAGGUCGGAUGACUGGGGUGAAGUCGUAACAAGGUACC